AGCAUCCAAUAGCUACAACAUCUGCCAGUCAAACAGACGAUGCCAUACAAACAUAUGAUAAAAUCGUGCAUGAAAUUGCAACUCAGACUGAGGAUGAAGAAGUUCCAGAUAGCCCAAAGAAAGUUAUGGAGGAACCUCAACAGAUAUCUACAUUUGAGCUUAUGAAACCACAACAAUCCUCGACAGGAGAUGGACGAGAUGGACAGCCAUCAACAAUCCCGCCACCAGGACAAAUUUGGGAUGAUUUGACGAAUUGUGGAGAGCCAAGAAUAGUUGUGUCUGUGAUAGGUGCUUAUAAUGAAUGUACGCCAACGUAUGAAUGGGCUGAUCACUUGUUAAUAAAGAAUGCCAUCACGCAUGUCGCAAGAUAUGCAGGAAGUAAGAUUGUUUAUGCAGUUCAAAUAUGAAUAAUAUA